AUGGCCACAAGUGGUGAUGAAGAGUACAUGCGCUUCCUGGAGUCUAUGCAUGCUUACGAGAAGGAGAUGCAGCAGGCAAUGAAAAACAAUGAUGAGAUGAAGAAGGUGCUGCCAAUGGCUGUGCAAGAUGGUACGACGCCGGCGGCGCCAACGGCGCCGGUGACAAUGGCGCCGUCCGCAACGGCGCCGGCUGCAACAACAGUGACUUGUACCAGCUCAAUGUGUCCAGCUCCGGAGCAAGGCAGUGUUCGUUCUUCUGGAAAACGAGGUAACACCCAAGAGAUAGUACCAUCCAUAUCUGAUUUAUGCAAAGUGGAGGUGCAUCCUGUAGCAGAUCGAGAGAGGAUCUUCCUGCAUGAAAAGAAAGUGAAGCCAAAACUAGCCUCUGGUGAUGUGGAUAGUAAGAAAAGCACUUGGUAUUUGGAUAGUGGUGCGAGUAACCACAUGACCGGCUACCGAGGAAGUUUUAUUGUACUGGAUGAGUCCAUACAGGGACGUGUGAAGUUUGGUGAUGAUUCUGUGGUGAAGAUUCUUGGCAAAGGUACAGUGUUGCUUCAGACCGUAAGCGGCCAGCACAUACUCCUUAAUGAUGUGUAUUUUGUUUCCAAGCUCACAAGCAGUAUACUGAGCCUUGGUCAGCUCGAUGAGGAUGGGUGCAAAUCAGUGCUACGCCAUGGGUUUCUGAGUGUGUUUGAUCGCUCAGGGAAGCUACUGGCCAGAGCCCGAAAAACCAAGAAUCGGCUCUAUGUGCUGAAUCUUAAGAAGACAACAGUUGUGUUCGAUUCAGGUUCGAUGACAGCAGUAGAAUGUGGAGGUUCUGUUAAAGGUAGCACUGACGUCGAGCCGGCUUGA
rnacentral:rRNA from 1 species